rnacentral:rRNA from 1 species
UACGGGGGGGGCUAGCGUUGUUCGGAAUUACUGGGCGUAAAGGGCGCGUAGGCGGUCUGCUAAGUUGGAUGUGAAACUCUGGGCUUAACCCAGAGCCUGCAUUCAAUACUGACAGGCUAGAGUUCUGGAGGGGAUAGCGGAAUUCCUGGUGUAGCGGUGAAAUGCGUAGAUAUCAGGAGGAACACCGGUGGCGAAGGCGGCUAUCUGGACAGAGUCUGACGCUGAGGCGCGAAAGCUAGGGGAGCAAACAGG